rnacentral:misc_RNA from 1 species
AAGCUAGAAAGACAUGAAAAAAAAAAUCAGUAAUGAAGAGGAAAUGAAGGAAGCCAGUGCACCUACUUUGAAAUGGAAUAUUGUUAGUUGUUAAGAAGAAAGGGAAAUGUAAAGUGUCCCUGUAUGGUCAGGAAGUCAUUAGGAAACACCCAUUGACUCAAAAUAGGUCAUUUCAACUGCUAAUAAGCAUUGACCACUUGUCCACUUUUUAUACUCACAAAAGCAGUACUUGCUUAGGGUAAGCAGCACAUACAUAAUUCAGCUAUUUGGAAGUACAAAAAUUUACAUUAAAAAACUUCAGCAGCAUGUGGAAUUAUCUGUUAAUCAUACAAAUUGCAGGUAUUUUAACAGGUGUUGUUCAUAACAAAGUAACUAACAUGUGCCGAGGUAAUAAUCCAAAAUGUGACAGAGGAAAAAGCAUAAAAAUCGAGAUGGUUACAUGUCCAUCCCCUGCUAACAAACGUCUAUGGAUGCAAACAAAACCUGAAAUACGUACAAGGUGUGAAAAUGUAAAAGAAUGUGACAUUAACUUUGUAGUAAGUUCAGUUUCAGCAUGCUGUGGAGAAGAUGGUCAAAUAAAGAAACCUCGUCUGAGAUUCGUUUAUAAUUGUCCAACUUUGAAUGAAGGGGUGGCAAAAAACGCAACAAUGGCAUCAAAGAAACAAAAUUUUCCCACAACUACGAAGCAAACGGCGACUGCUUCUAAGAGUAUUCCUAUAUCUACACCUAGACAUGAAUCCGUUAGUAACAAUGUUCUCAACCCAAAGAAUGAAAAUUUCCCAGAAUCUGGAUUUUGUGAGGCAGAUAUUUGCUAUGAGAAACCUUACUGUUCGAUUGGAAGCAAAAUAGCCAUUCGCAAUUAUACAAAUAAUGGAGAACAGGACUGGAAAAUAAUGGGCAUGAUACAAUAUUAUUGCAACAAGAGACAGAACUGUGAAUCUGAAUUCAACGGAUAUACACAAAAGAUCUGCCUACCUGAUGCUAAAAAUGUGAUUCAAUAUAUUUGUAUGAAUGAAAAAAUCACAUAUGAUGUUGAUUGUCCGCACUCCCAAGUUAUCAGUGGUUCCGAAGGCCAUAUCAUUUCCAUUGACUAUCCUAGAAUGAUGCCACCAGUAACUAGUAUAUGCAACUUCAAAAUUGCUUUCAGUGAAGCAGUACCAAUAGAACUUUUUUUGCUGGAUGGAAAAAAUAUUCGUGUGCAGAUUAUUACUAAAGAUGAUAUAACUGUUACUAAAGAUCUUAAUCCUUUUCACACCAUCCUGGGAGAAUCCUUUGAAAUUAAUUUUGAAAUCAACCCUGAAAAUUUAAGAGAGAAACGAUUUUGGAUAUAUUACCGCACACUGACAACUGAUAAUGUCCACAGCAAACCUGCACUUCCAUGGAAAGACACGUGUCCGGAAACAAUUGAGAAGAAAACAACUCAAAUUCAGACAACUGAUAAAAUCAAAACAACAUCAGAAAUAAAUAAAGACGAUAUUGCCAAAAGCGAUGUUAGUAAGAAAGAUUUACCACCAACACGUAGGUCUGAAAUAUUUUCUAAAAGUACUGAAGUGAUCGAUUCUACUGUAAGAAUGGUACCUGCUCUGACCCCAGUCCAUAGAGAGGUGAAGACCCAUAAAACAGCCGCUGACGGGAAGAUGGAAGUAAAAUUUAGCACCACUGAAACUAGUCAUGUUGCAGUUAUAACCAAUAAACAUCAUGAAACUGGGGUUAUGGAUGGCACUGAGGAAAAUAGCGUAAGACACACAAGUGUAUCUUCGCAGCCUGGAAUGUUUGGCAAAGAAAUUAUCACAGGACUGAUAGCUGGAAUUGUAAUUCUCGCAUGUCUCGUGAUAAUUUUGUUGACAGCACUGAUUGCCAGCAUGAAGCGAAAAAAGUAAGUUGAAAAUUCACAGAAGAUAUAUUGCCUACCAAAUCAAAUUAUUGGACUACACAUCACAUCGUCAUGAACUCCAGUAAAAGCAAGAAAUACUUCCAAUGCGAUUGUAUGUGGAACUUCAAAACCGCCUCCUAGCAACAACUGAAAAUUUCUGAUCCUGUCUUAUGCCUAAACUUCACCUUUUGUAGACGUCGACGAUGCCUGGCUGCGAAUACAGAGAGAGAAGAACGCUCUAGCAGUGAAGCCAUAAACGAACCCUUAGCAUCAUUCCAGUACCUGAAAGAAAAUUUUGGUGAAGGAGACAAUGAAACACUGAAUGGUCGGUCAAAGAA